GUCCAACAGCGCCGCCCCGCCCCGACCGGCUCCUCUCACCCGCUCGGUCCUCCUGUCCGAGUUGGCCUCGGCCGAGAUGAGUCUACACGCCAUCUACAUGCAUGAGCUUCACCAGCAACAAGCCGCCGCCCGCCUCCCUCCGCAGUCUUCGGCCCCAGCAGCCUCCCCUCGGCGUCCCUUCGAGUCGCGCAGCCAGGAGCGCUCGCUGGAAGUUUGGGAAGAGGAGUCGGACGAGACGACGACGGCGACGACGACGGCGGAGAAGAGCUAGCAGGCGCCGGUCCUCGCUCCUCCUUCCUUCCUUCCUCUCGUGUAGGUGUCUCGACG